rnacentral:misc_RNA from 1 species
CUUGCAGGUGCGAGAGCCAUGCUGAGCUGCAAGGGCGUCUUGCUGAUGCGGCACAUUGGACAGGAUGUGCCACGCCGGCACACCCACUUCGUGCUGGAGUCGCGCCUCAUGUACGAAAAGUCCUUCCGUGAUGAGUGGUUGCGCAGCUUGUGUCAGGCGCUAGCGAACGUAGAUGAGCCACUGGCGAAGUCACUCUCCGGUCUACCGCAGCAGAUGCUUCAGCGGAAGGUCACUUGCUUCAGCUACAACCAGUUCGGCCUCUUCAAGGUUCCAUACUACCGCCUCGCAAACGUCGACCGCUACUACGCGGUGCAGGGUGCGCUAGGCACGCGCGAGUGGGUACCUUACGCAAACGUAUCGUCCUGGACGAUGAACAAGAUGGUCCGCUCAGGUAACAUUCUGGUACACCGCGUUCACUACAAGGGCUGGGGUACGGACAGUACCUUGAACCAGGGUGGGUGGGAACACCGAUGGAACAAGGUGAUGCAACGGAACGCGCUGCAGUACAACCGGAUCUGAGCCGGGCCGUCGACCAGGGCGACCUGUUUCGCGUGCGUGUGUGUGUAGGCUUCGAAAGAGGACUGAUGUCGUCACGUUACAUCUAAAGAAGCAAUAUGAAGCAGUGCAUGUCUUUUUCCACGGCUGUGGCCACGAUGGAACACUUUUUGGUGACAGCAAAGAGGGCUGGGCGGGAGAGGAAGAACGUGUGUGUAUGUGCGUGUGUCUUCCCCCUUUUUGUUCAGACCACCUCAGCAGGGCCGAAUCUUUCGAAGCUGCGCAAGGCCUGCACCCGCGCGCGCAGGCCUGAAAACGAUUAGCGCUGCGACCAACUGCUUUUCCGUCUCUCACAUCCUCUGCCUCGACGUUUUCUUGUUUCUACACCUUGUUUGUCUACCACUCUUCGUUUUUUUUUUUUGGUCUGCAUGCGUUCUUGGCGUGGUGCGCUCUCCACAG